CCUCUAUGUUCAAUAGUAUUGUAGUAGUUCGCUAGUGCAUUUCUUUAUUUUGCCACUAGGGGUCAGUAUCUCUUUUAGUGUUUUUGGGGGUUCUUCUUCGGUUAUAUUUUGCACUCACUAUGAUUAUGCUCUGUUGGUGAUGUGUUGAGGCAGCAGGAAAAACGUUUGUUACACGAAGUGUGAGAAAAUGCCUAGAGGUGUUUACAUGCUACACUCCUCUCAGACCCCUUACAUCUUUGGGAAGCUUUGACAUGCCAUAAUCUGUAAGUAAUAAAUGGCCUAUUUUGUUUUUUUUUAAAGUACUGUUACUUCAGAGGUUAUUUUGACUCUUGCAAGCAAAAAGAUGUUUGUGAUUUAAGUCAAGCUAAUGUUGCUAGCUUCUGUUUGGUAUGUGGUUGCACAGUUUCCUAUAAGUCAAUGUCAGCUCUGUUUUUUUUACACAUCUCAGGUUCGUCAAGUUGUACAUAUAGGUUGUCAAAGUAAAACAAGUAGCUUUUGUUUUUUUUGUUUUUUCUGUGUAGCUUUGAUCAAGGCUUGCUGAAUUCAUGUUCUCCUAAAUUUAACUAAAGAGGAAAGACCUGUUAUACUUUUGCAGAACAGUGAAAAAAGGAAACAAAUGUAUAACUUUCUUCUACAGUAGCAGUAAAUAAAUUUUGGCAUUUAUAAAUAUGUUGAACAGUAUUUUGAACUGCUUUUCAAUCUGUUUAACUGCAAUUGACUGCUGUAUAUUCUGCAACCUCAUUGUGGCAAAUUGACACAAACUGAAGAAUUUAAAAAUGUAAUCUUGUGAUUCUUAUAUCUUGAGUUCUGAUCACUUCCAGCAUUUGAAUCCACAGCAAUGUGUCUUGGUUUGUUAAAUAAUUUAUUUUUUAUAAAAUUUGCUUGUAUGUUUACAGUUUUACAAAUCAGAAAAGAGAGGUCUUCAGUAAAGGCACUAAGAAGAAAACUGUGUCCUGUCAUUCCUGGAGCCACACCUUCUCUUACUGAAUGUUUAGCUCACUGCAUAGGCUGAGUAGCCACACACUCAACCGAGGGCAGAAGAGUAAAAAGAUUGCCUACCUAUCAAGCACCCAAGAUGUCUCAGUCUGAAGCUACACCGCCAGUGUCCCAGAUGUUGGCCCGGUCGGAGUGCUACUCACGUUCUUCGCGCCGUUCGUCCACCAGCCAAGCUGCAGCACGAGCCCGAGCAGACGCAGAAGCUGCCCGUACCAGAGCACAGUACGCCAAACGCCAGAUCGACGUGGAGGUUGAGAAGGCGCGCAUCGAGGCAACGCUAAACGCUCUGAUGAAGGAGGGUGAGGCUGAAGCAGCGCUUGCUGCAGCUUAUGUCCUGGAAGCGGCAGCUGAUGAGGAGCAUGACGCCAUCGACCUCAGUGAGCAAGGCAUCUCCCCUAAGACACCUCCUUCCAUUAGACGUGCUCGAGACUAUGUGAAUGCUCACUUCACCAACUUCAGUUUGCAAGUGAAAGAAGAAAAGCCUGACACAAGACAACUGGUCAGUCAUAACGACUCUCACCAUCUACAACAGAGCCAAACACCAGUCGCUUCCUCUCCAGGUGAACAUCUCACUGAUUUUGUAGAUAGGGAGCAGUUGAAGCACCCUCCUACACACAUAAAAAUGGACUUUUCACCCCAGCCUAGACCUUCAGUGACUCCACAAACUGAACUGUCGGAUCUAGCAGCCUAUCUAGCACGCCGUGAUCUGCUGACAGCGGGAUUCAAGGUUUUCGACAACCAUCCUGAGUCAUAUUUGUCCUGGAAGUCCAUCUUCUGCAACGCCAUAGAAGGCCUUCACCUUAAGCCCAGCGAAGAGCUUGACCUUCUAACCAAGUGGCUCAGCGGGGAGUCACUUCAACACGCUCUGAGGAUCAGGGCAGUCCAUGUGAACAACCCACAAGCAGGCCUGCAACGUUUGUGGCAGCGUCUAGACAAGAGUUAUGGCUCUCCAGAGGUAGUCGAAGCGUCACUCUUCCAACGCUUACAGACUUUUCCAAAGAUAUCCAAUAAAGACACUCACCUGCUGCAGGAGCUUGCAGAUCUUCUGCUAGAGUUAGAGUAUGCACAAAGUGAAAGUUAUCUGCCAGGCCUUAGCUUUCUUGACACCCCAAGGGGGAUAAACCCGAUAGUUGAAAAGCUCCCUUACGGACUCCAGGAGUCAUGGUUGAAACGAGGGACAAAAUACAAAAGAGACAAUGGUGCAGUUUACCCACCUUUCUCAUAUUUUGUUCAGUUUGUAAAUGACUACGCUGAAAUGAAAACAGACCCUAGCUUUAUGUUACAAAGUUCAAACAUAGUAGCUCCAAAGGUUGACAAGACACCGGUAAAACCAACCAGAUACAGAGUCCCUGUUACGGUGAACAAAACAGAUAUCAGUCAAACAAACGCCACAGCUCAAACAUCCGUUCUCAAUCCAGCCAAGCAAUGUCCUAUUCACCACAAACCCCAUUCAAUUGCUAAAUGCAGGGGAUUUAGGUCAAAAACACUGGAUGAAAGAAAAGGUAUUCUCAAAGAACACGCUAUUUGUUAUAGGUGUUGUUCCUCCACAAGUCACAGAGCUAAAGACUGUAAAGCCAUUAUCCAAUGCUCGGAAUGUAAUAGUAAUGUGCACGUGUCCGCCAUGCAUGCUGGUCCACCUCCGUGGAUACCUAAAGACUCUAACCCUCUGCCUCAGAACCACGGCGGGGAGUCGGAUUCCCCAAGCCCUGUAACUACGACCAGCUGCACAGAAGUGUGUGGCCAAGGUCUCAAAGGUAAAUCCUGCUCUAAGAUUUGCUUAGUCAACGUGUAUCCCCGCACAUCCCCUGAAGAGAAAAGGAGGAUGUAUGCCAUGUUAGAUGAUCAAAGCAAUUCAUCCUUAGCCAGGUCUGCCUUCUUUGACAUGUUUAAUGUAAAAGGUACCAUACUCCCAUACACCAUGAAAACAUGCGCUGGUUUAUCAGAGACUGGAGGGCGCAGAGCUAGUGACUUUGUUAUUGAGGAUGUGAAUGGAAAAGUGUCCAUGCUGCUGCCUAUACUAACAGAAUGUGAUCAGAUUCCAGAUAACAGGGACGAGAUUCCCACCUCUGAGGCUGUGUUGGCUCACCCUCAUCUACAGGCGAUCGCUUCGCAGAUUCCUCCUCUGGACCCAUCAGCAGAAAUCCUUCUCCUCUUGGGCAGGGACAUCAUCCAAGCUCACAAGGUCCGCAGUCAGGUGAAUGGUCCAAACAGUGCACCUUAUGCUCAACGCCUUGAUCUGGGAUGGGUAGUUAUAGGUGAUGUCUGCCUCUCAGGUGCCCACAAACCCACAGUGAGCUCUUUUAAGACAAACGUUCUUAACAAUGGCCGCCCUACCUUCCUCAGCCCCUGUGAAAACAAAAUCUAUAUCAAAGACAAAUACACAGAAAGCUGUCAUACACUUGAUAAGACACAAGUUGAAUUGGGCAGACACAUUUUCCAGCAAACAGCAGAUGAUGACAAAGUGGCACUUUCGGCAGAAGAUGCUUUGUUCUUGGACAUUAUGCACAAAGACUUUGCAAAAGAUGAUGCGAAUAAUUGGGUAGCUCCACUCCCAUUCCGCACCCCCAGACAGCGUUUGCCCAACAACAGGGACCAGGCCCUCAGUCGUUUAAUGUCACUUCGCAAAAUGCUAAAAAGGAAACCUGAAAUGAGGGAGCACUAUGUUGAGUUUUUGGACAAAAUCUUCAGUAAGGGCCAUGCAGAACCAGCUCCUGCUCUAACUCCAGACCAGGAAUGCUGGUAUCUCCCUAGUUUUGGAGUUUACCACCAUCAAAAGCCAGGGAAAAUUAGAGUAGUUUUCGAUUCAAGUGCUCAAUGCAGCAAUGUUUCACUCAAUGACGUGCUACUAAAAGGGCCAGAUCUCAAUAACACUCUUGUGGGAGUUCUGAUGCGUUUCAGGUCUGACCCAUACGCAGUCAUGGCAGACGUGGAGCAAAUGUUUCACAACUUUCUAGUUAGAGAGGACCACCGCGACUACCUUCGUUUCUUGUGGUUCAAAAACCAUGAUCUGGACGGAGAAGUGCAGGAAUUCAGGAUGAGAGUACACGUUUUUGGGAACUGCCCCUCCCCAUCCGUGGCUAUUUAUGGACUGAAACGGUCAGCCAUGGAGGGAGAAAGGGAAUACGGCAGUGAUGCAAGAGAGUUCAUUGAACGUCACUUUUAUGUAGAUGAUGGACUGAAAUCAUUCUCUUCUGCAGAUGAGGCCAUUGACAUUCUCUGUAGAGCUCAGAAGAUGCUGGCUCAGUGUAACAUACGCCUGCACAAAAUCUCAUCCAACUGUCCUAUCAUCACAAGUGCUUUUCCAAGUGAGGACCUUGCAACGGACAUGCAGGGCAUUGACCUCGGGCAGACUACCCCACCUAUGCAACGCAGCUUAGGCUUAGGCUGGGACCUGUCCACAGACCUGUUCAAGUUUCAGGUAACAGUCAAUCAAAAGCCCUUCACUAAACGGGGAGUGCUGUCAGUCAUUAAUAGUGUGUUCGACCCGCUUGGCUUUGCUGUCCCAGUCAUUGUAGAAGGCAGGGCCAUACUGAGAGAGAUUUCCACUGACAUUUGUGAAUGGGACACCGAAUUGCCCAAAGACAAAUUACAACAGUGGCAACAAUGGAAAGACUCCCUCAAAUAUCUACAACAACUUGAAAUUCCCAGAAUGUACACCUCAAUACCACUAUCUGCAGCUCUAACUAAGGAGAUCCAUGUUUUUUGUGAUGCCUCCACUAAGGCAGUGGGCGCUGUCGCUUACCUCAAACUCACAGAUAGAGAUGGGCACAGUGAAGUGGGUUUCCUUCUCGGCAAAGCACGACUUUCCCCAAAACCAGACAUCACUAUACCCAGACUUGAACUUUGUGCAGCAGUCCUGGCUGUUGAGGUGGCCGAGUUAGUCCUGGAGGAGCUAGACAUCGCAGUUGAACAGGUGAGCUUCUACACCGACUCCAAAGUAGUGCUCGGUUACAUCUUUAACAAAAAGAGACGCUUUCACGUUUAUGUGCACAAUAGAGUGGAACGUAUUAGGCGCUUCACACAAGCUCACCAGUGGCAUUACGUGCCCACUCAUGUAAAUCCUGCUGAUCAUGCCACACGAGCACUACCCGCUGAGCAGCUCUCUAAUUCCACAUGGAUCAGUGGACCCACUUUCCUUUCAAAUUUAGGAAAGAGUCAACCACAGGCAGAGUUGUUUGAUCUUGUAGACCCGGAGACUGACGAUGAACUGCGACCUGAGGUUACUACUUGUGCCACCACUCUCUCAAGGGAUAGACUCAGUAGUGUCAGAUUUGAAAGGUUUUCGAGUUGGAAUGCACUACUUAAAGCUAUAUCCAAACUCCAGCACAUUGCCCAGUCAUUUAAGCCGAACACAGAGAGCUCCUGUCACGGCUGGCACAGCUGUAAUGAACAUUUAACUGAAAAACAACUCAACCAAGCCAAGAACACUAUCAUUCACACUGUUCAAAGAGAAGUUUACGCAGAGGACAUAAGACAAGUUGAAAAAGGUGUGCCCCUUAAAAAAUCAAGCCCACUUAGCAAACUGAGCCCUAUUGUCGACGCUAAUGGAAUCCUCAGAGUGGGUGGGAGACUAAAACGAGGACAGUUGACAUCGGACGAAACAAAUCCCAUACUCAUCCCUGGAAAGCACCACCUUACCCAGCUCAUUAUAAAACACUUCCACAGGAAAGUAUGCCACCAGGGCAGACAUUUUACUGAAGGGGCAGUCAGGUCUGGAGGUUUUUGGAUUGUGGGAGGUAAAAGAGCAAUAAGCAGAGUGAUAUUCAAUUGUGUCACAUGCCGCAAACUAAGGGGCAGACAACAGGAACAGAUCAUGGCUGAGCUACCAGAGGACAGGCUGUCCACGGACCCUCCUUUCACACAUGUUGGCCUUGAUGUGUUCGGCCCCUGGCCUGUCACAGUCAGAAGAACACGUGGUGGGCAAGCGGAUGCUAAGCGAUGGGCAGUCAUAUUCACAUGUAUGAGCACACGUGCCAUUCACAUUGAAACUAUAGAAUCGAUGGACACGUCGUCGUUCAUCAAUGCGCUGCGUCGUUUCUUCGCCAUUAGGGGUGCAGUCAAACUUCUCAGAUCCGAUUGUGGGACAAAUUUUGUGAGUGCCUGCAAAGAACUGCAAAUAGACAAACAGGGCUGUCACAACAGCAAACUUCACAGCUUUCUCAAAGAUUCUGGCUGCAAAUGGCAUUUCAACCCCCCACAUGCAUCUCAUAUGGGUGGCUCCUGGGAGCGCAUGAUUGGGGUCACACGCAAAAUCCUCGAUGCAAUGCUCCUAGAACAUAGAAAUGCAAAACUUACUCAUGAGAUAUUAGUGACAUUAAUGGCUGAAGUCACUGCAAUAGUGAAUGCUCGUCCGCUCACAGCAGUUUCUACAGAUCCAGAAAACCCAGCCAUUCUUACCCCUGCCAUGCUACUCACACAAAAAGUUGCGACCCCACCAGUCCCACCAGGUCAGUUUGAAAGCAGGGAUCUUUUCAGAGCGCAAUGGAGGCGCGUGCAAUACCUCGCCAAUGUUUUCUGGAGCCGAUGGCAAAGGGAAUACAUUUCAGGACUUCAGAACCGCCGCAAAUGGAAAACCGUAAAACCAAAUCUACAAACAGGAGAUGUUGUUCUGCUAAAGGAGGCACUUGAACAUAGGAACAACUGGCCACUUGGUCUCAUCACCAAAAUCUUCCCAAGCGAGGAUGGACUUGUCAGGAAAAUAGAGGUGAAGAUUUUCCGCAAGGGUGAACUCAGAUGCUACAUAAGACCUAUAAGUGAGGUUGUGUUAUUGGUGUCUAAGGACAGUACUUAAAAUCAGGUAAUUUAUCUGUAUUUACAUGCUAGUUAUGGAUGACAUUCUACAGAUGUCAGGCGGGGAGUAUUCUGUCCCUCUAUGUUCAAUAGUAUUGUAGUAGUUCGCUAGUGCAUUUCUUUAUUUUGCCACUAGGGGUCAGUAUCUCUUUUAGUGUUUUUGGGGGUUCUUCUUCGGUUAUAUUUUGCACUCACUAUGAUUAUGCUCUGUUGGUGAUGUGUUGAGGCAGCAGGAAAAACGUUUGUUACACGAAGUGUGAGAAAAUGCCUAGAGGUGUUUACAUGCUACACUCCUCUCAGACCCCUUACAUCUUUGGGAAGCUUUGACAUGCCAUAAUCUUUUUACAAAUCAGAAAAGAGAGGUCUUCAGUAAAGGCACUAAGAAGAAAACUGUGUCCUGUCAUUCCUGGAGCCACACCUUCUCUUACUGAAUGUUUAGCUCACUGCAUAGGCUGAGUAGCCACACACUCAACCGAGGGCAGAAGAAUCUUUUUA